CUACGGGCGGCUGCAGUGGGGAAUAUUGCACAAUGGGCGCAAGCCUGAUGCAGCAACGCCGCGUGAACGAUGAAGGUCUUCGGAUCGUAAAGUUCUUUUCUUAGGGAAGAAAAAUGACGGUACCUAAGGAAUAAGCACCGGCUAAAUACGUGCCAGCAGCCGCGGUAAUACGUAUGGUGCAAGCGUUAUCCGGAAUCACUGGGCGUAAAGGGAGCGUAGGCGGUUUUGCAAGUCAGAAGUGAAAGGCUACGGCUCAACCGUGGUAAGCUUUUGAAACUGCAAGACUAGAGUGCAGGAGAGGCAAGUGGAAUUCCUAGUGUAGAGGUGAAAUUCGUAGAUAUUAGGAGGAACACCAGUGGCGAAGGCGACUUGCUGGACUGUAACUGACGCUGAGGCUCGAAAGCGUGGGGAGCGAACAGGAUUAGAUACCCUAGUAGUC
rnacentral:rRNA from 1 species